rnacentral:misc_RNA from 1 species
GCCCGUACGCAGCCUCCCAGCCGUGCGCGCCUACCUCCCUCCGGCCGCCGCUGCCGAGCGCCCGUGCGCUCGCCUGUGCGCCCGUGCGCUCGUGCCUGCCGCGCCUGCAAGUGCCCGUGCGUCGCGGCCAAGCCGCCAGGACGCCGCCGCGCCGUUCUCCUGCGCCGACCCGACGCCCGCCCUCUGCCCCGACGUCCUCCUGCGCCGUCCCGACACCGACUGCUCGUUCCCGCCGCCAGGAUCACGUCUCCGGCCCGACGUCCGUGCGGCCCCUCGUCGCUGCAGUGCUGCACCGCCCAGUCGCAUCCCCGCCCGGACGCCGCCGCCACGCCGACCGUCCCUGCUGCGCCAUCGCCCCGAUGGACGCGGACAACGUCACCACCACUGCGGCCAUGCU